ACCGGCGCACGGGUGCGUAACACGUAUAUAAUCUGCCUUUAACAGGGGGAUAGCCCGGAGAAAUCCGGAUUAAUACCCCAUAAUAUAUUUGCUGGCAUCAGUGAAUAUUAAAAGCUCCGGCGGUUAAAGAUGAAUAUGCGACUGAUUAGCUAGUUGGUAGUGUAACGGACUACCAAGGCGACGAUCAGUAGGGGAUCUGAGAGGAGUACCCCCCACACGGAUACUGAGACACGGAUCCGACUCCUACGGGAGGCAGCAGUAAGGAAUAUUGGACAAUGCCCGCAAGGGUGAUCCAGCCAUGCCGCGUGCAGGAAGACUGCCCUAUGGGUUGUAAACUGCUUUUGUACCGGAGAAAACCCCCGCACGUGUGCGGGGCUGAUAGUAUGGUAAGAAUAAGCAUCGGCUAACUUCGUGCCAGCAGCCGCGGUAAGACGAAGGAUGCAAGCGUUAUCCGGAUUCAUUGGGUUUAAAGGGAGCGUAGGUGGACUGAUAAGUCAGUGGUGAAAUCUCCGAGCUUAACUCGGAAAUUGCCAUUGAUACUGUUGGUCUUGAGUAUAGUUGCCGUUGGCGGAAUAUGACAUGUAGUGGUGAAAUACAUAGAGAUGUCAUAGAACACCGAUUGCGAAGGCAGCUGACGAAACUAUAACUGACACUGAGGCUCGAAAGUGUGGGGAUCAAACAGGAUUAGAUACCCUGGUAGUCCACACUGU
rnacentral:rRNA from 1 species